AGACCCGAAACCCGGUGAUCUAGCCAUGGGCAGGUUGAAGGUUGGGUAACACUAACUGGAGGACCGAACCGACUAAUGUUGAAAAAUUAGCGGAUGACCUGUGGCUGGGGGUGAAAGGCCAAUCAAACCGGGAGAUAGCUGGUUCUCCCCGAAAGCUAUUUAGGUAGCGCCUCGUGAAUUCAUCUCCGGGGGUAGAGCACUGUUUCGGCUAGGGGGCCAUCCCGGCUUACCAACCCGAUGCAAACUGCGAAUACCGGAGAAUGUUAUCACGGGAGACACACGGCGGGUGCUAACGUCCGUCGUGAAGAGGGAAACAACCCAGACCGCCAGCUAAGGUCCCAAAGUCAUGGUUAAGUGGGAAACGAUGUGGGAAGGCCCAGACAGCCAGGAUGUUGGCUUAGAAGCAGCCAUCAUUUAAAGAAAGCGUAAUAGCUCACUGGUCGAGUCGGCCUGCGCGGAAGAUGUAACGGGGCUAAACCAUGCACCGAAGCUGCGGCAGCGACACUGUGUGUUGUUGGGUAGGGGAGCGUUCUGUAAGCCUGUGAAGGUGUGUCGUGAGGCAUGCUGGAGGUAUCAGAAGUGCGAAUGCUGACAUAAGUAACGAUAAAGCGGGUGAAAAGCCCGCUCGCCGGAAGACCAAGGGUUCCUGUCCAACGUUAAUCGGGGCAGGGUGAGUCGACCCCUAAGGCGAGGCCGAAAGGCGUAGUCGAUGGGAAACGGGUUAAUAUUCCCGUACUUGGUGUUACUGCGAAGGGGGGACGGAGAAGGCUAUGUUGGCCGGGCGACGGUUGUCCCGGUUUAAGCGUGUAGGUGUGUGUUCCAGGUAAAUCCGGUUCACUUUAACACUGAGGCGUGACGACGAGGCACUACGGUGCUGAAGCAACAAAUGCCCUGCUUCCAGGAAAAGCCUCUAAGCAUCAGGUAACAUCAAAUCGUACCCCAAACCGACACAGGUGGUCAGGUAGAGAAUACCAAGGCGCUUGAGAGAACUCGGGUGAAGGAACUAGGCAAAAUGGUGCCGUAACUUCGGGAGAAGGCACGCUGACACGUAGGUGAAGUGAUUUACUCAUGGAGCUGAAGUCAGUCGAAGAUACCAGCUGGCUGCAACUGUUUAUUAAAAACACAGCACUGUGCAAACACGAAAGUGGACGUAUACGGUGUGACGCCUGCCCGGUGCCGGAAGGUUAAUUGAUGGGGUCAGCGCAAGCGAAGCUCCUGAUCGAAGCCCCGGUAAACGGCGGCCGUAACUAUAACGGUCCUAAGGUAGCGAAAUUCCUUGUCGGGUAAGUUCCGACCUGCACGAAUGGCGUAAUGAUGGCCAGGCUGUCUCCACCCGAGACUCAGUGAAAUUGAACUCGCUGUGAAGAUGCAGUGUACCCGCGGCAAGACGGAAAGACCCCGUGAACCUUUACUAUAGCUUGACACUGAACAUUGAGCCUUGAUGUGUAGGAUAGGUGGGAGGCUUUGAAGUGUGGACGCCAGUCUGCAUGGAGCCGACCUUGAAAUACCACCCUUUAAUGUUUGAUGUUCUAACGUGGACCCGUUACCCGGGUUGCGGACAGUGUCUGGUGGGUAGUUUGACUGGGGCGGUCUCCUCCUAAAGAGUAACGGAGGAGCACGAAGGUUGGCUAAUCCUGGUCGGACAUCAGGAGGUUAGUGCAAUGGCAUAAGCCAGCUUGACUGCGAGCGUGACGGCGCGAGCAGGUGCGAAAGCAGGUCAUAGUGAUCCGGUGGUUCUGAAUGGAAGGGCCAUCGCUCAACGGAUAAAAGGUACUCCGGGGAUAACAGGCUGAUACCGCCCAAGAGUUCAUAUCGACGGCGGUGUUUGGCACCUCGAUGUCGGCUCAUCACAUCCUGGGGCUGAAGUAGGUCCCAAGGGUAUGGCUGUUCGCCAUUUAAAGUGGUACGCGAGCUGGGUUUAGAACGUCGUGAGACAGUUCGGUCCCUAUCUGCCGUGGGCGCUGGAGAACUGAGGGGGGCUGCUCCUAGUACGAGAGGACCGGAGUGGACGCAUCACUGGUGUUCGGGUUGUCAUGCCAAUGGCACUGCCCGGUAGCUAAAUGCGGAAGAGAUAAGUGCUGAAAGCAUCUAAGCACGAAACUUGCCCCGAGAUGAGUUCUCCCUGAGACUUAAAGUCUCCUGAAGGAACGUUGAAGACGACGACGUUGAUAGGCCGGGUGUGUAAGCGCAGCGAUGCGUUGAGCUAACCGGUACUAAUGAACCGUGAGGCUUAACCUUACAACGCCGAAG
rnacentral:rRNA from 3 species